ensembl:lncRNA
GUGGGCUCUUAGUCCAUAUGACUGGUAUCUUUAUAAGAGAAGAGACACAAACACAUGAGAUGAAGGAAGAAUGCCAUGUGAUGACAGAGGCAGAGAUCAAAGUGUUACAGAUGCAGCCAAGAAAUGCCAAGCAUAUCCCAUCACCAGGAGCUGAGGAGAGGCCUGGGGCAUUCUCUCCUUCACAGGCUGUGGAACCAACCUGGAUGGUGCCCUGAUUAUAAGCUUCUGGACUCUAGAACUGACAUCCAUUCCCCGAAAUUAAAGUCAGCAGCCAGAAUGACUGCUGCGAGGCAAAUACCUCACGCUCACGCAAUCUCUCCGUCUCGAUGACCUGAAGUCCCAAGGGCCUUUCCACGAGCUAUUUCCUCUAACUGAUAGGUCCUCUCCACCAUCAACCCCCUCUUCUUGUUAAUUCUCCCAG